UACGUAGGGUGCAAGCGUUGUCCGGAAUUAUUGGGCGUAAAGAGCUCGUAGGCGGUCUGUCGCGUCGGCUGUGAAAUCCCGAGGCUCAACCUCGGGUCUGCAGUCGAUACGGGCAAACUAGAGUAUUGCAGGGGAGACUGGAAUUCCUGGUGUAGCGGUGAAAUGCGCAGAUAUCAGGAGGAACACCGGUGGCGAAGGCGGGUCGCUGGGCAGUAACUGACGCUGAGGAGCGAAAGCAUGGGGAGCGAACAGG
rnacentral:rRNA from 1 species